rnacentral:rRNA from 1 species
AUUGAACGCUGGCGGCAUGCCUAACACAUGCAAGUCGAACGGUAACGACGGGAGCUUGCUCCCGGGCGACGAGUGGCGGACGGGUGAGUAAUACUUAGGAAUCUGCCCAGUAGUGGGGGACAACUCGAGGAAACUCGAGCUAAUACCGCAUACGCCCUACGGGGGAAAGCGGGGGAUCUUCGGACCUCGCGCUAUUGGAUGAGCCUAAGUCGGAUUAGCUUGUUGGUGAGGUAAAAGCUCACCAAGGCGACGAUCCGUAGCUGGUCUGAGAGGACGAUCAGCCACACUGGGACUGAGACACGGCCCAGACUCCUACGGGAGGCAGCAGUGGGGAAUAUUGGACAAUGGGCGCAAGCCUGAUCCAGCAAUGCCGCGUGUGUGAAGAAGGCCUGCGGGUUGUAAAGCACUUUCAGUAGAGAAGAAAAGCCUAGGGUUAAUAACCCUGAGUCUUGACGUAACCUACAGAAGAAGCACCGGCUAACUCCGUG